rnacentral:rRNA from 1 species
GACGGUACCUAACCAGAAAGCCACGGCUAACUACGUGCCAGCAGCCGCGGUAAUACGUAGGUGGCAAGCGUUAUCCGGAAUUAUUGGGCGUAAAGCGCGCGCAGGUGGUUUCUUAAGUCUGAUGUGAAAGCCCACGGCUCAACCGUGGAGGGUCAUUGGAAACUGGGAGACUUGAGUGCAGAAGAGGAAAGUGGAAUUCCAUGUGUAGCGGUGAAAUGCGUAGAGAUAUGGAGGAACACCAGUGGCGAAGGCGACUUUCUGGUCUGUAACUGACACUGAGGCGCGAAAGCGUGGGGAGCAAACAGGAUUAGAUACCCUGGUAGUCCACGCCGUAAACGAUGAGUGCUAAGUGUUAGAGGGUUUCCGCCCUUUAGUGCUGAAGUUAACGCAUUAAGCACUCCGCCUGGGGAGUACGGCCGCAAGGCUGAAACUC